rnacentral:rRNA from 1 species
CGGACGGGUGAGUAAUGUCUGGGAAACUGCCCGAUGGAGGGGGAUAACUACUGGAAACGGUAGCUAAUACCGCAUAACGUCGCAAGACCAAAGAGGGGGACCUUAGGGCCUCUUGCCAUCGGAUGUGCCCAGAUGGGAUUGGCUAGUAGGUGGGGUAAUGGCUCACCUAGGCGACGAUCCCUAGCUGGUCUGAGAGGAUGACCAGCCACACUGGAACUGAGACACGGUCCAG